GACGAACGCUGGCGGCGUGCUUAACACAUGCAAGUCGAACGGAAAGGCCCUGCUUUUGUGGGGUGCUCGAGUGGCGAACGGGUGAGUAACACGUGAGUAACCUGCCCUUGACUUUGGGAUAACUUCAGGAAACUGGGGCUAAUACCGGAUAGGAGCUCCUGCUGCAUGGUGGGGGUUGGAAAGUUUCGGCGGUUGGGGAUGGACUCGCGGCUUAUCAGCUUGUUGGUGGGGUAGUGGAUUACCAAGGCUUUGACGGGUAGCCGGCCUGAGAGGGUGACCGGCCACAUUGGGACUGGGAUAAGGCCCAGACUCCUACGGGAGGCAGCAGUGGGGAAUAUUACACAAGGGGAGGAAGGCUGGUGCAGCAACGCCGCGUGCGGGAUGACGGCCUUCGGGUUGUAAAGCGCUUUCGCCUGUGACGAAGCGUGAGUGACGGUAAUGGGUAAAGAAGCACCGGCUAACUACGUG
rnacentral:rRNA from 1 species